rnacentral:lncRNA from 1 species
UGACGAUGACCACCUUUUCAUAUGCCUGUUUGCCAUUUAUGUCCUCUGUAGCAAGAGGCAGGACAAACAGUGAGGACUGCACCAACACUCACCGGGUGACCCCUUUGCUUUGGAAACUUACUCAGGGUGAAAGGAAUUCCGAUUUUAAACAGCAUCUCUUUGUGUGGCCUGUUUGAGGCACCACACAGAGCUUGCUGGAGCAGCUCUGUUGACCGCUGACCCUUGGCCUGCUAACUGAAACAAGAUUCACAAGUGAGGCUGCUGCCCCAGUUUCAUGGAUGCUGGCAGAAGACUUAAGAUUUCUGAAUCAGAGACAGAAGACUUCAUUUAUUUGUCACAGCUAAAGCAAUGGCCAGUGUCAGUGUAUUUGCACUGGUGCCUCAAGCCCUGAUGCCCACGGGGUGAUGCAGAGACCCUAUGACUCCCGCACAUGCAUUGGGUCAAGUCACAGUAGAGGACCACUGAGCUGGGCACCAUGUGGACCUAUAGCAGGCAGCAGGCAAGCCCUCUCCUUUGAGGUUCCUCCCUGCAACUACGACCCCGAAAAAUGGAUCCAGUAAAGAAGAGUCAAGGCUUUAUAGUCUUGGUGCACCCAGUAAGACCUGUAGGAGAACAGGAAGCCUGUGGAGGACUGUUUCUUCCAAAAGUUUCCAAGUGUUAGCUCUUACACAUGUAUAAACAACACUGCAAUUUGUCUCCUUGCACCGUACAUCCACGAAGCAGAUUUGCUUCUUGCCAAAUUAUUUCCCUCAGUGAUUUCAGGAACUGACAAUUCCCAGUCGCAUAUAGGAAUUUUCUUGCGUCUUCUUUUCCUGACUAACUCUUGCGUUGUCAGACACUUUCAUUUGUGCUAAGCUGAUAAGUAUCAAACGAUGAUGCAGGCUAUUCAUUAUGUGUGUCCUUGAUUACUGAUGAGUUUGAGCAAUUGUCAUUUGUUGGACUGAUCGUUCAAUUUCCUCUUCGGUCCUUGGCCUUUUCAUAUAUUUUGCCUUUUCUUGUAGGUGUGUCCUUUUCAAAUUGAUUUUUUUGGUGUUUUUGGUAUAUCCUGUGUACUAAUUCUUUGUCAUUUAUAUGCAUUAAUAAUAUCUCCUUUCACUGUGUGGCUUGUCUUCUCAAUUUGUUUUUGGGUUUUUGUUUCAGAGAACAUUUUAUAAGCUUUAAAUAAUAAAGUUUAUUUAUUUUUAAUUAAAAAAAAAAAAAAAAA